UCAUCCUGAUUUUGAACUACA
ensembl:piRNA 21ur-3421 ncRNA